UGGGGAAUAUUGGACAAUGGGCGAAAGCCUGAUCCAGCCAUGCCGCGUGUGUGAAGAAGGUCUUCGGAUUGUAAAGCACUUCAAGUUGGGGGGAAGGGCAGUAAGCGAAUACCUUGCUGUUUUGACGUUACCGACAGAAUAAGCACCGGCUAACUCUGUGCCAGCAGCCGCGGUAAUACAGAGGGUGCAAGCGUUAAUCGGAAUUACUGGGCGUAAAGCGCGCGUAGGUGGUUCGUUAAGUUGAAUGUGAAAGCCCCGGGCUCAACCUGGGAACUGCAUCCAAAACUGGCGAGCUAGAGUAGGGCAGAGGGUGGUGGAAUUUCCUGUGUAGCGGUGAAAUGCGUAGAUAUAGGAAGGAACACCAGUGGCGAAGGCGACCACCUGGGCUCAUACUGACACUGAGGUGCGAAAGCGUGGGGAGCAAACAGG
rnacentral:rRNA from 1 species